rnacentral:rRNA from 1 species
CUACGAAGGGUGCUAGCGUUGUUCGGAAUUACUGGGCGUAAAGAGCAUGUAGGCGGAUAGAUUAGUCAGAGGUGAAAGCCCCGAGCUCAACUCGGGAACUGCCUUUGAUACUGUUUAUCUAGAGACCGAGAGAGGUGAGUGGAAUUCUCAGUGUAGAGGUGAAAUUCGUAGAUAUUGGGAAGAACACCAGUGGCGAAGGCGGCUCACUGGCUCGGAACUGACGCUGAGAUGCGAAAGCGUGGGGAGCGAACAGGAUUAGAAACCCUUGUAGUCC